rnacentral:lncRNA from 1 species
AAUUGUAUUGGCACGCAGAGCAAUCCUAAAUAAUGUAUGUAUAUAUAAAUAAAAUAGGUGAGAGGAAGUUAUGAAACAUCAUGCAUGAUAUAUUUUAAAAUACAUGGGUAAAUCUUUGACAAUGAUAAAAUAUUCUUAUCAAUGUAGUUCUGAUCUUUGUAUUACUUCUGAGUUUGCUGGUCCACCCUACAAUUCUAUAACCC